CCUACGGGAGGCAGCAGUGAGGAAUUUUCCGCAAUGGGCGAAAGCCUGACGGAGCAAUACCGCGUGAGGGAUGAAGGAUUUUGGUCUGUAAACCUCUUUUCUCAAGAAAGAAGUUCUGACGGUACUUGAGGAAUAAGCAUCGGCUAACUCCGUGCCAGCAGCCGCGGUAAUACGGGGGAUGCAAGCGUUAUCCGGAAUGAUUGGGCGUAAAGCGCCUGUAGGUUGUUUAUUAAGUCCGUUGUUAAAGCCUAGGGCUUAACCCUAGAAAAGCAAUGGAAACUAGUAGACUAGAGUAUGGCAGGGGUAGAGGGAAUUUCUAGUGUAGCGGUGAAAUGCGUAGAUAUUAGAAAGAACACCGGUGGCGAAAGCGCUCUACUGGACCAUUACUGACACUCAGAGGCGAAAGCUAGGGUAGCAAAAGGGAUUAGAUACCCCUGUAGUCCUAGCCGUAAACGAUGGAUACUAGAUGUUGUGCAUUAUGUACAGUAUCGUAGCUAACGCGUUAAGUAUCCGCCUGGGGAGUACGCUCGCAAGGGUGAAACUCAAANAGAUAGAGCGNGAGACGUGCGACGCGACACGAGGAGAG
rnacentral:rRNA from 1 species